rnacentral:lncRNA from 1 species
GACGCUCUAACCACUACACCACGGAGGCGGUCCAAUUAUUAACAGACUGCCGUCAUAUAGCUGGAAUAUUGCUGAGUAUGGUGUAAAACUAAACUCACUCUCUCACUGACUGGUAUUUGGAAUUUUAUAAUGUCCCAUAAAUUUCAGGAUAAAAGGUGAACAACAGCACCUCUAGGAACUAUGGCUUCUCCUGCAUUAGAAUUAAGUGUGUGUCACAUGUACAUGGGAGUGUCUAGCUGAUAUGUAAUGUGCAAUUUGUUUAUAUUUAACCUAAAGGUACCAUUAAAAAUAUUUUGAAACCAUAUUAUCUGAGAUCGUGAAUUACAUGAGAUUGCUUACAUAGUUGUAUCAUUAUCUGGAUCUUCCAGCGCAUUUUCUGUGUAUAUAUGCUGGAGAAUGUUCCUUAAGGCAUACAGUUAAAAAACACAGGUGUUCAACUUUAACUCUAACUUUUCCUUGGUUGUUUAUCUGUAAAUUUGUGCUCUUUGGCCAUUGCGGUAUUGAGAACUAAACAAUUUAUGUUUUGUAAAUACAUGUAUUUUCUUGACUGUCAUACACAACAGCUGUGUUAUAUGCAGUGUAAUAACAUCAUCCUGCUGUACCUGUUCAGUUCUGUACGUUCAUGUUCACAGAUUGUCUGUAUCCAUGCCUCACACGUUCACAAGGUACCUGUCAUCUGUGAAACUAGGGAACUUUCUUUAUCUCUCUCACAAUGUUAUCAUCAUUUUGCUGUAUGUAAAUGUAUGUUAUUAUCAUUCUUAAUAAUGUUAUUGUAUAUUGUUUCUCUGAAGGUCACUUUCUGAUGAUAGACCAGAUUUGGAAUACCACAAAAUUUUGUGAUCAUGAGGCAAAAGUGUUACGACAUUAUCUGUCAUGAUACAUACUUACUUGAUUAAGGGAGAAAAGUUGAACAUGAAUGUUAUUUCUUGUAGUGUGAAAAUCUUCUACCAUAGACUUUUACUUUAGGUCUUGUCCAAUGUCACAAAUUCUAUAUUUUCACAGAAGGGUAUUUUAUUAAUCCUCUUAAAAUUCUGAGACUGAACUUUUUGAUUUUGAUUAUGGACCAUCUGACAUCAUUUCAUAAUUCUUGUAUGACAUUUCUAUGUUCAAAUCUGGAAUAUGAAAUUUAUGUAAAAGUGGGCCUGUGGCAUUGCAAAGAAUUUUUUUUUAAAUGAUAUAAUUGGGGAAGAGUUUGAUCUAAAACUUAUUGCGUUUUGCAAACUCAAGUUUGUUAGCCCCAUUCCAGUGUUCAUGUAUUGCACCAAAGUUGUUAUGUCCUGGACUUGCAUCUGGUUUUCCUCCAAAAUCACACGGUCAGAAUGUGAUAUAACUGUUAUGCUGGUCAAAGUGGUGUUAAAUCCAAUUCACUUAUAUACUCAUAGGUUAUGAGACUUGGGACACAGUUGCCAUGUUGCGGAAACCAAGCAUUCUAUAUUUAAAUUGUGGUUCAAUAUGAUUAUGACUCUAGGUCCUGUCAACUCCAUAAUCAUGCUCGCUGGUUUCACCGAAGCAAAAACGCCUCAAUCACUUCAACCUCCCACGUCAAGCUGACAAUCCAAAAUACAACAAGAACACUGGUCAAAGAGGUGCUAAAUGAGCAAUCCAUCCUUUGAGACCAGCAGUAUGAAGAUCUGAGACAAUCAUUAUGAAUGGAUUGUAUAUAGUCUGAAAUUGUAUAGAGUUUAUGACUUCAUGACAUGUAUACUAUAAUCUGUCACAAUUUGACCUGUCCACAACCAUUGGCAGUUGAUAUCAUCACUAAAUUCCUGAUUUUGUACACUCCAAAGAAAUUGAAGAACACCUUAGGUUUUACAUGCAACAUAUUUAUCUGCCAUGGCAUGUCAUACUGCUUCCAUAAAACUGAUGUGUUCAAAUCUCAUUGCUAUGAAUAUGUGAAAGUGUAAUAUUUCAUAUGUAAACAUGCAUUGGAUGUUUCAUGAGACCGGCAAGAUUCCAGCUGAAAUAACACUGCAUCACAUGACUGUUGUCAAACUAUGGUCACACUCUGUGUUAAGAUACUGAUACGGCUGAGAAUUGUUCGCCAAGGUCUCUGAGAAACAGUUUUGUUUGGUUAUGGACAUUUGAAAAUCUCUGUGUUGUUUUUAGAUUUUUAAAAAACAUUUCUGGUUUAGCACAUUUGAUGGUUGUAUGUUUUAUUCCUGGAUCGGGUUAUGUUGUGAUCUGUCAGUGGAUUACAGGAAAAUUACCUAAAGUGAUACUCUCAAGAUUAUGAUAAGUAACGUGAUAUUAAUCUCGUAGAGAAUCUGUGAUAGUAAAUUGCAAAUAGAUGAUAAUGUCUACUGCUUUAAUGUGUUUUGCACAUGGUAAAUAUUAAUACGCAAACAAAUGCUGCUGUUGACUUACCUGUGUGGUGGCAACCCAGGGUGAGCCGUUAUUGUGUUAGAAUGUUCAGGCAGACAAGUUAUUAGAAUGUUAAAACAGAGAGGCUGUUGGAAUGUUCAAAUAACAGGUUGUUAGAAUGUUCAGACUGUGUUAGAAUAUUAGUCAAGGUGUUAAAAUAUUCCGAUAAACAAGAGACUGUUGCCAGCUGUCAGAAUGUUCAGAAAAGCCAACCAUUAGAACGUUCAGACAGCAAGGCUGUUAGAAUGUUCAGAUAGAUCAGCUGUAAGAACGUUCAGAUAGGCAGGCUGUUAGAAUGUUCAGAAUGGCAGGCUGUUAGAAUGUUCUGAUAGCCAGACAUUUAGAAUGUUCAGACAGCAAAGCUGUUAGAAUGUUCAGAUACAUCAGCUGUCAGAAUGUUCAGAAAAGCAGGCUGUUAGAAUGUUCUGAUAGCCAGACAUUUAGAAUGUUCAGAAAGGCAGGCUGUUAGAAUGUUCAGAUAGGCAGACAUUUAGAAUGUUCAGAAAGGCAAGCUGUUAGAAUGUUCUGAUAAGGCAGCUGUGAUAUGUAGAUCAUUGAAAUGCUCAGACUGGCAGGUUUUUAAAAUGUUCAGAUAAGGCAGCUGUGCGAAUGUUCAGACAGAUAGGCUGUGGAAAUGAUCAGAUAUGCAGGCUACUGGAAUGAUCUGAUAGGCAGGCUGACAGAACAUUUAGAUAGGCAUACUUAGAGAACUUCAUAUGUGCAGAAUCUGUUCACAGAAACUGUUCUCGAUGGUCACACUGAGAAACAACUAUGUUAGAAUGUUCAAAUAUUCUGGCUUCAAGUUGGCACAUCGUGGUUCCAGAUGGUCACACUGAGCGACAACUGUCAGAAUGAUCAGAUAUGCUAGCUAUUAUAUAACACAUUCUCUCCACAUUGAUAUUUAUACUAUAAGCAUUAUUUGGGAUAUCUAUGCUAAACUUGUUUUAUGAUUUCUCAGAUCACAGUGCAAUAAUUCAGUUCAACCAAGUUUUGUAUCUAGUCUUUCCUAAAUGAAGACAAUGAAAUAAAGUGUAUAUUCUGAUAA